rnacentral:lncRNA from 1 species
AAGAAAAUGCAAUUUUAUUUACCUGCAAAGACCGGAGCCAGAAAUCUCCAUUUCAAAAUGCUUAUUUCUUUACAGUGUGGAUGAAUGGCCGUGAACAAUGCAAAUCGGUUUUACUUUCUAAGUUUAUUAUACUUACACAUAUUUUGAUGGAUCUGAGAACGCUGUCUGGGCUUGGUGCCAAGCGCUGGUAUUUCACAGCAGCGACCGCCUCACAGACGAGCUGUGGGAAGCAGGAGGGAGACUCUCUCUUAGGGUGGAGACACAGCUGGGCUGAACAAGAUUUGCUUCAAACGACAACAAGAGAGACAGAAAGUAUCUGGUUCAACCGCUGCCCAAGCAGGCAGGCACCAGAAGAGCUAGCAGCCAAUCCGGCCAUGCUCGAAGCCAGCUCUGCAGCUCAGCCAAUCAGUGACAUCACUGCAGUUUUAUUUGGAAUGCCCCUGGUGAUAUAA